AUUGAACGCUGGCGGCAGGCCUAACACAUGCAAGUCGAGCGGCAACGGGAAAAGGUUUACUUUUUUGCCGGCGAGCGGCGGACGGGUGAGUAAUGUCUGGGGAUCUGCCCGAUGGAGGGGAAUAACUAUUGGAAACGGUAGCUAAUGCCACAUAAUGUCGCAAGACCAAAGGUUAGGUUUUACCUUGCGCCAUCGGAUGAACCCAGAUGGGAUUAGCUAGUAGGUGGGGUAAAGGCUCACCUAGGCAACGAUCCCUAGCUGGUCCGAGAGGAUGACCAGCCACACUGGAACUGAGAUACGGUCCAGACUCCUACGGGAGGCAGCAGUGGGGAAUAUUGCACAAUGGGGGAAACCCUGAUGCAGCCAUGCCGCGUGUGUGAAGAAGGCCUUCGGGUUGUAAAGCACUUUCAGCUGGGAAGAACUCGCUAGCGUUAAUAACGCUAGCGAUUGACGUAACCUGCAGAAGAAGCACCGGCUAACUCCGUGCCAGCAGCCGCGGUAAUACGGAGGGUGCAAGCGUUAAUCGGAAUUACUGGGCGUAAAGCGUACGUAGGUGGUUUGUUAAGUCAGAUGUGAAAUCCCUUGGCUUAACCUAGGAAUUGCAUUUGAAACUAACAAGCUAGAGUCUCGUAGAGGGGGGUAGAAUUCCAGGUGUAGCGGUGAAAUGCGUAGAGAUCUGGAGGAAUACCAGUGGCGAAGGCGGCCCCCUGGACGAAGACUGACACUCAGGUACGAAAGCGUGGGGAGCAAACAGGAUUAGAUACCCUGGUAGUCCACACUGUAAACGAUGUCGAUUUGAAGGUUGUGACCUUGAGUUGUAGCUUUCGGAGCUAACGCGUUAAAUCGACCGCCUGGGGAGUACGACCGCAAGGUUAAAACUCAAAUGAAUUGACGGGGGCCCGCACAAGCGGUGGAGCAUGUGGUUUAAUUCGAUGCAACGCGAAAAACCUUACCUACUCUUGACAUACAGAGUACUUAGCAGAGAUGCUUUGGUGCCUUCGGGAACUCUGAAACAGGUGCUGCAUGGCUGUCGUCAGCUCGUGUUGUGAAAUGUUGGGUUAAGUCCCGCAACGAGCGUAACCCCUAUCCUUUGUUGCCAGCGAUUCGGUCGGGAACUCAAAGGAAACUGCCGGUGAUAAACCGGAGGAAGGUGGGGAUGACGUCAAGUCAUCAUGGCCUUUAUGAGUAGGGCUACACACGUGCUACAAUGGUGCAUACAAAGAGAAGCAAUCUCGCAAGAGUCAGCAAACCUCAUAAAGUGCGUCGUAGUCCGGAUUGGAGUCUGCAACUCGACUCCAUGAAGUCGGAAUCGCUAGUAAUCGUGGAUCAGAAUGCCACGGUGAAUACGUUCCCGGGCCUUGUACACACCGCCCGUCACACCAUGGGAGUGGGUUGCAAAAGAAGUGGGUAACCUAACCUCAUUAGGAAACUAAUAGGAGGGUGCUUACCACUUUGUGAUUCAUGACUGGGGUG
rnacentral:rRNA from 1 species